rnacentral:rRNA from 1 species
GAUGAACGCUGGCGGCGUGCCUAAUACAUGCAAGUCGAGCGAAUGGAUUAAGAGCUUGCUCUUAUGAAGUUAGCGGCGGACGGGUGAGUAACACGUGGGUAACCUGCCCAUAAGACUGGGAUAACUCCGGGAAACCGGGGCUAAUACCGGAUAACAUUUUGAACCGCAUGGUUCGAAAUUGAAAGGCGGCUUCGUCUGUCACUUAUGGAUGGACCCGCGUCGCAUUAGCUAGUUGGUGAGGUAACGGCUCACAAAGGCAACGAUGCGUAGCCGACCUGAGAGGGAGAUCGGCCACACUGGGACGGAGACACGGCCCAAACUCCUACGGGAGGCAGCAGUAGGGAAUCUUCCGCAAUGGACGAAAGUCUGACGGAGCAACGCCGCGUGAGUGAUGAAGGCUUUCGGGUCGUAAAACUCUGUUGUUAGGGAAGAACAAGUGCUAGUUGAAUAAGCUGGCACCUUGACGGUACCUAACCAGAAAGCCACGGCUAACUACGUGCCAGCCGCCGCAGUAA